rnacentral:rRNA from 1 species
CCCUUAGAUGUUCUGGGCCGCACGCGUGCUACACUGAGUGGAUCAGCGGGUCAGGUUGCGCGAAAGCGUUUCCUAAUCUUUAAAUCCGCUCGUGAUGGGGAUUGACGGUUGCAAUUUUCUGUCAUGAACGAGGAAUACCUUGUAAGGGCGGGUCAUCAUCCCGCGCUGAAUACGUCCCUGCCCUUUGUACACACCGCCCGUCGCUCCUACCGAUUGAGUGGUCCGGUGAGGCUUUGGGAUCUGAGCGGAAAGAGCGUUUCGCUGUUUCUGCUCGGAAAACUCAGUCGAACCUUAUCAUUUAGAGGAAGGAGAAGUCGUAACA